rnacentral:rRNA from 1 species
GACGAACGCUGGCGGCGUGCCUAAUACAUGCAAGUCGUGCGGACCUUGUCGAAAGCUUGCUUUUAAAAGGUUAGCGGCGGACGGGUGAGUAACACGUGGGCAACCUGCCUGUAAGACUGGGAUAACGCCGGGAAACCGGGGCUAAUACCAGAUCGUUUUUUCCUCCGCAUGGAGGAAAAAGGAAAGGCGGCUUCGGCUGCCACUUACAGAUGGGCCCGCGGCGCAUUAGCUAGUUGGCGGGGUAAUGGCCCACCAAGGCAACGAUGCGUAGCCGACCUGAGAGGGUGAUCGGCCACAUUGGGACUGAGACACGGCCCAAACUCCUACGGGAGGCAGCAGUAGGGAAUCUUCCGCAAUGGACGAAAGUCUGACGGAGCAACGCCGCGUGAGUGAAGAAGGCCUUCGGGUCGUAAAACUCUGUUGCCGGGGAAGAACAAGUGCCGUUCGAACAGGGCGGCGCCUUGACGGUACCCGGCCAGAAAGCCACGGCUAACUACGUG